UUACCCAAUCUGAACAAUGGAGAAAAAGAAAUACUUAAAAAAUAAAUGAAUAAGCAGAACCUGUGGCUAUGCCUGUGGGAUAGAUUAAAGUUACCAUGAUCUGAAGAGGAAAGAUUUUCAUGUGUUCUCCUAUAUAAAAUAGCUAAACAGAAAAAG